GAACGCCCGCCAAGGGGGAGUGGCAGACGGGUGAGUAACCGUGGGAACAUGCCCUUCGGUUCGGAAUAACUGCAGGUAAACUUGUGCUAAUACCGGUAUACGUCCGCGAGGAGAAAGAUUUAUCGCCGAAGGAUUGGCCCGCGUCUGAUUAGCUAGUUGGUGAGGUAACGGCUCACCAAGGCGACGAUCAGUAGCUGGUCUGAGAGGAUGAUCAGCCACACUGGGACUGAGACACGGCCCAGACUCCUACGGGAGGCAGCAGUGGGGAAUAUUGGACAAUGGGCGAAAGCCUGAUCCAGCCAUGCCGCGUGAGUGAUGAAGGCCUUAGGGUUGUAAAGCUCUUUUGCCUGGGAAGAUAAUGACGGUACCAGGAGAAUAAGCCCCGGCAAACUUCGUGCCAGCAGCCGCGGUAAU
rnacentral:rRNA from 1 species